CCUACGGGAGGCAGCAGUGGGGAAUUUUGGACAAUGGGCGAAAGCCUGAUCCAGCCAUGCCGCGUGAGUGAAGAAGGCCUUCGGGUUGUAAAGCUCUUUCGGCCGGAACGAAAUCGCACCCGUGAAUAUCGGGUGUGGAUGACGGUACCGGAAGAAGAAGGACCGGCUAACUACGUGCCAGCAGCCGCGGUAAUACGUAGGGUCCGAGCGUUAAUCGGAAUUACUGGGCGUAAAGCGUGCGCAGGCGGUUUUGUAAGCCAGUCGUGAAAUCCCCGGGCUUAACCUGGGAAUGGCGAUUGGGACUGCAAGGCUCGAGUGCGGCAGAGGGGGGUGGAAUUCCACGUGUAGCAGUGAAAUGCGUAGAUAUGUGGGGGAACAUCAAUGGCGAAGGCAGCCCCCUGGGUCGACACUGACGCUCAUGCACGAAAGCGUGGGGAGCAAACAGGAUUAGAUACCCUGGUAGUCCACGCCCUAAACUAUGUCAACUAGUUGUUGGAGGAUGAACUCCUUUAGUAACGCAGCUAACGCGUGAAGUUGACCGCCUGGGGAGUACGGUCGCAAGAUUAAAACUCAAAUGAAUUGACGG
rnacentral:rRNA from 1 species